rnacentral:tRNA from 1 species
GCCGAUGCUGGUGAAGGGCCCUGCGCCCUCCAGUGGCGUGGCCGAUGUUCCGCUCGACGCGCCUGCC